rnacentral:rRNA from 1 species
GACGUAGGGCGCGAGCGUUGUCCGGAAUUAUUGGGCGUAAAGAGCUCGUAGGCGGCUUGUUGCGUCGGCUGUGAAAACCCAUGGCUUAACCGUGGGCUUGCAGCCGAUACGGGCAGGCUAGAGUUCGGUAGGGGAGACUGGAAUUCCUGGUGUAGCGGUGAAAUGCGCAGAUAUCAGGAGGAACACCGGUGGCGAAGGCGGUUCUCUGGGCAUUACCUGACGCUGAGGAGUGAAAGCAUGGGGAGCGAACAGG